CGCACAUUGCGCCCCCUGGCAUUCCGGGGGGCAUGCCUGUUCGAGCGUCAUUUACCCCCCUCAAGCACUGCUUGGUGUUGGGCGUCUGUCCCGCCGCACGCGCGCGGACUCGCCCCAAAAUCAUUGGCAGCGGUCGUGCCAGCCCCUUGCGCAGCAGUUUGCGGUCUCGGCGGCUCGGUCGGCGGCUCGCGUCCACGGAAAGGAGGCUUAUGCCCACCCUUUUGACCUCGGAUCAGGUAGGGAUACCCGCUGAACUUAA
rnacentral:misc_RNA from 1 species